rnacentral:pre_miRNA from 1 species
AUAAAGACAGCUCUUAGCCAGUCUUCUAAGUAGUAGUGCCGCAGGUAAUGGUUUUGAAUUACCUGCACACGACUGCUUCAGAGACUGAGCGAAGUACUUAGCAU